rnacentral:SRP_RNA from 1 species
UCAUGCUAGACGGGGAACUGGCGGUGCCCUAUUCCUGAAAUCCGCCUUAUGCAGGGUCGAAUGCCUUGAGGAAGGCCUUGGCUUCAGGGAGGAAACCUUUUUGGAGAGCGUUGAAGGUUGGGCCUUAUGCAAUGGUUCUUUCCCCAACUCCGCCAGGCCCGGAAGGGAGCAACGGUAAGGAACAGUUUCCAUGUGCUGUAAGAUACCUGAUUGGAGCUUGAAGCAAGGUGAAAUCUUUGGUAAGUGGGGUCAACCUCAAGGGCAUGG